GAGCGUUAAUCGGAAUUACUGGGCGUAAAGCGUGCGCAGGCGGCUUUGCAAGACAGAGGUGAAAUCCCCGGGCUCAACCUGGGAACUGCCUUUGUGACUGCAAGGCUAGAGUACGGCAGAGGGAGAUGGAAUUCCGCGUGUAGCAGUGAAAUGCGUAGAUAUGCGGAGGAACACCGAUGGCGAAGGCAAUCUCCUGGGCCUGUACUGACGCUCAUGCACGAAAGCGUGGGGAGCAAACAGG
rnacentral:rRNA from 1 species